GCGAGGCCGAAAGGCGUAGUCGAUGGGAAACAGGUUAAUAUUCCUGUACUUGGUGUUACUGCGAAGGGGGGACGGAGAAGGCUAUGUUGGCCGGGCGACGGUUGUCCCGGUUUAAGCGUGUAGGCUGAUUUUCCAGGCAAAUCCGGAAAAUCAAGGCUGAGGCGUGAUGACGAGGCACUACGGUGCUGAAGCAACAAAUGCCCUGCUUCCAGGAAAAGCCUCUAAGCAUCAGGUAACAUCAAAUCGUACCCCAAA
rnacentral:rRNA from 1 species